GGUGGAGGUGACAUACCCGUUCCCAUUCCGAACACGGAAGUUAAGCCCUCUAACGCCGAUGGUACUGCCCCCCGGAGGGGUGGGAGAGUAGGUAGUCGCCAGGC
rnacentral:rRNA from 1 species